GGGGCGAGCGUUGUUCGGAAUUACUGGGCGUAAAGGGUGCGUAAGCGGUUUGGUAAGUCUGGUGUGAAAUCUCCGGGCUCAACUCGGAGUCUGCACGUGAAACUGCCGGGCUUGAGUAUGGGAGAGGUGAGUGGAAUUCCCGGUGUAGCGGUGAAAUGCGUAGAUAUCAGGAGGAACACCUGUGGCGAAGGCGGCUCACUGGACCAUUACUGACGCUGAGGCACGAAAGCUUGGGGAGCAAACAGGAUUAGAUACCCUGGUAGUCCACGCCCUAAACGAUGAUUGCUUGGUGUG
rnacentral:rRNA from 1 species